GGGCUAGUUGCUCAGUUGGUAGAGCAACAGACUGACAAUCAGUAUUAAGUUCAGUGGGUUCGAGUCUGUCUGCUGGUUAU
rnacentral:tRNA from 1 species